rnacentral:rRNA from 1 species
GGAAUAUUGGACAAUGGGCGCAAGCCUGAUCCAGCCAUGCCGCGUGUGUGAAGAAGGCCUUCGGGUUGUAAAGCACUUUCAGCGAGGAGGAAGGGUGUUGUGUUAAUAGCACAGCAUUUUGACGUUACUCGCAGAAGAAGCAUCGGCUAACCCCGUGCCAGCAGCCGCGGUAAUACGGAGGGUGCAAGCGUUAAUCGGAAUUACUGGGCGUAAAGCGCACGCAGGCGGCUUUUUAAGUCGGAUGUGAAAGCCCCGGGCUCAACCUGGGAAUUGCAUUCGAUACUGGGGAGCUAGAGUAUGUGAGAGGGGGGUAGAAUUCCAAGUGUAGCGGUGAAAUGCGUAGAGAUUUGGAGGAAUACCAGUGGCGAAGGCGACUGUCUGGGCUGAUACUGACGCUGAGGUGCGAAAGCGUGGGGAGC